GAAACAAGCGGCUGCUGAUCGGCGGACUGUGGAGAAAACCUGGAAACUCAUGGAUAAAGUUGUCCGCCUUUGCCAAAAUCCUAGACUCCAGCUG